GUGACCUAUCCUUCACUCCUGCCUCCUGAGGGACAAAUGCACUUGGUUGUAACCCUGCCCUGGCCCUGGGUCCCCUUCCCCACCAUGGCCCAUGACCCUAGAGGGUCUUCUCCAUCCUUUGAGAGCCAGCUCCCCAUCCCAGGGUCCUGGACCCUGACUCCUGCCUGCCACGCUGCCUCGUACAUGGCCCUGAAUCCCAUCUUCCCGGUCACCAGCCGCGCUGCUGCUCCCCUUUUGCCGGCUCAGCGUGGCCAUCUCAUUCUCCGACUGCAUGAGGUCCCUAACCCGGGGCCUUCCCUGGAUGCAGGAGCCUGCCCACACGGCCCUGGCUUCCCAGAAUGCUCAGGCCUUCACACGGCCACCCUGCGCUUUUAGAUGUCACAUUCCCCAAAAUGCAUCUCCCGGCCUCCUGUUUGCAGGGACGCUGCACCCCCGCCCCGGACCUCGCGUGGCCAAGGAUGAAGAAGCCCUCCUCAGCGUGUGUAAUAAAACCCGCUCCCCCACCCCCGGCCCCCAGACAGAGCCGCGAGCGUGCCAGGCCCGCCGGGGAGUGUUCCUUCCACGGCUGACGCGAGGCCGAGCCAGGCCCGCAGCCAGGACCCGCCGGCAGGGACCGAGGGGUGGGCCGCGUGCAGGCAGCGGACAGCUGGGCCCGGGCCCCAGGGGCACCUGCUCCAGGCCCGAGGGGUCCCGGCUCCCCUGUCCCUCUCUGACCCGCAACAGUGGGGCGCUGUGAGAACCUCCGCAAAGGACCGAGAGACCCAAGAAAAAGACCCCACGGGUCCAGCUUGACAAGACGUGGCGGUUAAGGGGACCCGCGGUCAGAAGUGCGUCCCGGCAGUGCUACCUCCCCUGACACGUGCCUCCGAGGCCUCUGGAGCCCCCAGGAGACCCAGUGGGGUGGCGGGCUAUGCCCCUGAGGACCGUGGCGACAAGAGGUGGACGGGAAGGAGACUCAGAAGGAAGCACAGAGCUGCUACUCUAUAAAAGGAGAAUCCAACUCGAUCCACAAACACCAGUGGAGCCCUGCCCAGGGCCAAGGGCCCACCUGCCUGGCGUCUUCCAGUUGAGAAAUGAGGAGGUCUCCAGGCUUAGGCAAAAGACCCUGAGGGCAAAGCAUCCCCCGCUGGGAAUCGAAACCAUCCCCUCAAGCAAUAAGGACUGCCCUGUGUCCUGGAGACCCUCCCAAGACUGACCCCACGACAGUGAUCAACCCCACCUGCACUGCUCACCUGCAAGGACCCCUCCACCUUUGUCCCACUUUUCCUGCCAUAAACCUGGGAGUCUUUCCAGCACUCCGGAGACAGGCCUUGGGACACCCGUCCACUGGCUUCCCAGCAUCGGCUUCCCUGAAAUAAAUCCCUUUCUUAUUUCACGGUCA